UAAAUAGCCCACCAAGGGUCCAAACAGGCAAAUCCAUAGCCAUUAAACGACACUAUUUUUCAAACCCUAAAAAAAACUUUUAACAAAACAUUUCAUUUCAUUUUCUUCAAAAACAGAGAGGGAGGAGAGAACUCUCUGCUAGGGUUCUUUUCUUAACCCAAACCCAGCCACACCACUGCCAUGACGCCGCCCAAAGCACCACCCUUGACGGCAGUUUGAAGAGACCGAACCAAAGGUAAAGAUCCGGGGCUGUGGUGCUUGGUGGCUGCGGCGCAAAGGUUUCCUCAGAAACCCUAGGAGUUUCUGACAUUGUUUUGGGCCAUUAUUUAUUCCGGAUUUUGGGCCAUUAUUUAUUCCGGAUUUUGGGCCACAUAGGCCCAUUGUAAUUUGAGCUUGUUUUUGUAGGCCGGGUAAAAUUUCAGUAUUACAGUCAUCAUCCGAACUUGUUACAUAUUAAAAUUUGUGAUACUAUCGAACUUAUCAAUAUCAAACCUUGUUGCUGCUA